UACGGGGGGGGCAAGCGUUGUUCGGAAUUACUGGGCGUAAAGGGUUCGUAGGUGGCCAACUAAGUCGGACGUGAAAUCCCUCAGCUUAACUGGGGAACUGCGUCUGAUACUGGUUGGCUUGAGUGCAGGAGAGGAACGCGGAAUUCCAGGUGUAGCGGUGAAAUGCGCAGAUAUCAGGAGGAACACCGGUGGCGAAGGCGGGUCUCUGGGCAACAACUGACGCUGAGGAGCGAAAGCGUGGGGAGCGAACAGG
rnacentral:rRNA from 1 species